rnacentral:rRNA from 1 species
UACGUAGGGGGCUAGCGUUGUCCGGAAUCAUUGGGCGUAAAGCGCGCGUAGGCGGCCCGGUAAGUCGGAUGUGAAAUCUCACGGCUCAACCGUGGAACUGCAUUCGAUACUGUCGGGCUAGAGGCAGGUAGGGGAGAUCGGAAUUCCCGGUGUAGCGGUGAAAUGCGCAGAUAUCAGGAGGAACACCGGUGGCGAAGGCGGGUCUCUGGGCCGGAACUGACGCUAAGGAGCGAAAGCGUGGGGAGCGAACAGG